rnacentral:rRNA from 1 species
UACGUAGGAGGCGAGCGUUGUCCGGAGUUACUGGGCGUAAAGGGUGCGCGGGCGGUGGCCCGCGUGGGCGGUGAAAGCUCCUGGCUCAACUGGGAGCUUGCAGGCGAAACUGCCGUGCUGGAGUGUGGGAGAGGUGCGUGGAAUUCCUGGUGUAGCGGUGAAAUGCGUAGAUAUCAGGAGGAACACCUGUGGCGAAAGCGGCGCACUGGACCACAACUGACGCUGAGGCGCGAAAGCUAGGGGAGCAAACAGG